rnacentral:tRNA from 1 species
AGGAAGAUAACUCAGUUGGUUCAGAGUACCUGUCUGAUACGCAGGGUGUCAUGGGUUCGAAUCCCAUUCUUCCUA